UGGGGUGUGGCUCAGUGGUAGAGGGCUUGCCUGGCACGUGUGAGGCGCUGGGUUUGAGUCUCAGCACCACAU
rnacentral:tRNA from 1 species